CCUCAUUGUAGAAGCAUUAUCACCUUGGGGAUUUCGUCUGUUGUGAUGUGCUGUGAUGCUGCGGUGGUGGAUUUUUCAUUUUUCGGUGAAGACGAGAUACCAUUUGAAGGGGAGAAUAUUAUUUAGUUGGAAGUUGGAACCCUAACUCAAGCACAGAAGAUAACCAUUGCUGCUGCCUUACAACCACAGGCAGGAAAAUUAUUCUUUUCUUCAGAAAAUUGGAAAGCUGCUGGAGUAAUCUAGUGUCCAUCCCCACUUGAUUAAUUUCGUGCCAGCUUGUGAAAGGCGUGAGGAAUUCAAAUUUAGCUGCUGCGUGCUGUCUGCAAGCAAGCAAUCCAAUUGGCUGUCGCUAGGUGGCGCGAGUGUCUUCAGGGGACCAAAUUCGGCCAUUUUGUUCCUUGACGCAGCAGAAGUGGGAUGCUGGUCGUGACGUUUCCCAUGAUGAAAAUGUAAAGGUGAUUUCAAUACCACUUUGUCAAAUCAUGUAACUCGGACUUGAGUGCCUGUCCAUUUUGCCGAAAUGUCGUGCCUCGUGUGUCUUGCUGCCUGCACCCAGUCGUACGUCUCGUCCCAUGACAAAGCAAAAGUCCGCUGUUGGUUACCUUGUUGCAGCCAGGUGGUGAAAGAUGUGAUGGAGACUAAUUGAACUGUUGUAUGCAGCGUGUGGUUCCAGUGUUAUCCUGAAGCAGCCUGAAUUUGCCAGUGAUAUCCGGGUUGCUGCCUUAAAGUUAAACAUUUUUCUCUCUUUGCAUUUGUGUAUUUUGCUCUGCCAAUGCUAUCCUGUGUUUGAAAUCUUU